UUUUUUUUUAUAUGAACGUUGGUAUUGAUCAAAGCAUAACCAAUAGAAACACUGGGGUUAGGACUGGCAUCCAUUUUGUAUGUCAUGUUGGUUACAGAUGGUUGCUAUUUCAGCUUUACUUAUGAGGGAGGGUCUUCGUUAUCUGAUAUUUUGUCUGCACUUUCGUAUUUUACAAGACCAAAAAGGAGAGCCAGGUGAUGAGCAAUUCUCGGUUCUCAAGGCUACAGAGUCUACAAAACUCAUAUAAGCUGUUAGUUCUGAGCUGGAGUUCUACUUUUCUAACAGAAGAGUCACUCAGGUGAAGGUUUAUUAAUUCUUCCCUGCCUUCAUGAGGCUUUCAUGGGUACUUUUGCCUGGAAGAAAGCCUGUACUGAAAUAGGAGGACCCUUGAAGGAUGUUAACUAACAGAAAUGAAUGCUUUAAUAAGGAAGGAGGGUUUCAUUCUUCAAGAUCCCUAUUCAGAGUGGCAAGUCCAAGAACGUUAGAUUAUGUCACAAAGAAAAUACUUCAUUUAUGAAGAAAAAAAGAAAUUAAAUUAUGAAUCCUGAGUUACCAAAGAAGACAUACCAGAUAGAUUACCUAAAAUUCCUGUCUGCCUGUAAAAUCUGUACAUUUUAAGGUG